rnacentral:rRNA from 1 species
UGGGGAAUUUUGGACAAUGGGCGAAAGCCUGAUCCAGCAAUGCCGCGUGUGUGAAGAAGGCCUUCGGGUUGUAAAGCACUUUUGUCCGGAAAGAAAUCCUUGGCUCUAAUACAGUCGGGGGAUGACGGUACCGGAAGAAUAAGCACCGGCUAACUACGUGCCAGCAGCCGCGGUAAUACGUAGGGUGCAAGCGUUAAUCGGAAUUACUGGGCGUAAAGCGUGCGCAGGCGGUUUGCUAAGACCGAUGUGAAAUCCCCGGGCUCAACCUGGGAACUGCAUUGGUGACUGGCAGGCUAGAGUAUGGCAGAGGGGGGUAGAAUUCCACGUGUAGCAGUGAAAUGCGUAGAGAUGUGGAGGAAUACCGAUGGCGAAGGCAGCCCCUGGGCCAAUACUGACGCUCAUGCACGAAAAGCGUGGGGAGCAAAACAGGAUUAGAUACCCUGGUAGUCCACGCCCUAAAACGAUGUCAACUAGUUGUUGGGGAUUCAUUUCCUUAGUAACGUAGCUAAACGCGUGAAGUUGACCGCCUGGGGAGUACGGUCGCAAGAUUAAAAACUUAAAUGAAUUGACGGGGUCAUAGCUGUUUCCU